AGAGUUUGAUCAUGGCUCAGAUUGAACGCUGGCGGCAUGCUUUACACAUGCAAGUCGAACGGCAGGCGCGGGGGCAACCCUGGCGGCGAGCGGCGAACGGGUGAGGAAUACAUCGGAACGUGCCCGAGAGUGGGGGAUAACGCCGCGAAAGCGGCGCUAAUACCGCAUAUUCUCUGAGGAGGAAAGUGGGGGACCGCAAGGCCUCACGCUCACGGAGCGGCCGAUGUCGGAUUAGCUAGUUGGUGGGGUAAAGGCUUACCAAGGCGACGAUCCGUAGCUGGUCUGAGAGGAUGAUCAGCCACACUGGGACUGAGACACGGCCCAGACUCCUACGGGAGGCAGCAGUGGGGAAUUUUGGACAAUGGGGCAACCCUGAUCCAGCCAUGCCGCGUGCGGGAAGAAGGCCUUCGGGUUGUAAACCGCUUUUAACCGGGAAGAAAAGGCAUCUCUUAAUACGGGGUGUUCUUGACGGUACCGGUGGAAUAAGCACCGGCUAACUACGUG
rnacentral:rRNA from 1 species